AACGAACGCUGGCGGCAUGCCUAACACAUGCAAGUCGAACGAGACCUUCGGGUCUAGUGGCGCACGGGUGCGUAACGCGUGGGAAUCUACCCUUGGGUUCGGAAUAACAGUUAGAAAUGACUGCUAAUACCGGAUGAUGACGUAAGUCCAAAGAUUUAUCGCCCAAGGAUGAGCCCGCGUAAGAUUAGCUUGUUGGUGGGGUAAUGGCCUACCAAGGCGACGAUCUUUAGCUGGUCUGAGAGGAUGAUCAGCCACACUGGGACUGAGACACGGCCCAGAGUCCUACGGNNNGCAGCAGUGGNGANNAUUGGACAAUGGGCGAAAGCCUGAUCCAGCAAUGCCGNGUGGGUGAUGAAGGCCUUNGGGUUGUAAAGNUCUUUUACCNGNGANGAUAAUGACAGUNCCUGGAGAAUAAGCACCGGCUAACUACGCGCCAGCCGCCGCGGUAA
rnacentral:rRNA from 1 species